rnacentral:rRNA from 1 species
GAUGAACGCUGGCGGCGUGCUUAACACAUGCAAGUCGAACGGUGAACGAGGGAGCUUGCUCCCUCCGGAUCAGUGGCGAACGGGUGAGUAACACGUGAGCAAUCUGCCCCGAACUCUGGGAUAAGCGCUGGAAACGGCGUCUAAUACCGGAUACGACGCGCGAAGGCAUCUUCUGCGCGUGGAAAGAAUUUCGGUUCGGGAUGAGCUCGCGGCCUAUCAGCUAGUUGGUGAGGUAACGGCUCACCAAGGCGACGACGGGUAGCCGGCCUGAGAGGGUGACCGGCCACACUGGGACUGGGACACGGCCCAGGCUCCUACGGGGGGCAGCAGUGGGGAAUAUUGCACAAUGGGCGCAAGCCUGAUGCAGCAACGCCGCGUGGGGGACGACGGCCUUCGGGUUGUAAACCUCUUUUAGUAGGGAAGAAGCGAAAGUGACGGUACCUGCAGAAAAAGCACCGGCUAACUACGUGCCAGCAGCCGCCGUAAAAC